CGUCCGCAUCGCCGACGUUCACACGCCCAGCCGCAUCGCGCCGCUUCGAUCCGACGCAGCGCAACCGAAACGUCCGUCUGCAGCCGUCGCCGAGCGAAGCUGUGGUGUAACCGGACCACCCGCAGCCGUCGCGCCACCCGAAUCCGGAAGCCAGCGCCUCGUCGCGCGAGGACCCGACCCGGCCGAAGCCCCCGCUCCGUGACCCGAAGCCCGGCCCGCGCCGAGUGCCUCCGACCCGGAACCCGAGCCGCGUGCACCCGCGAGCCGAGCAGCGCCCGCGUGCGAGCCGCACGUGCGUAGCCUCUUUACCGAGCCGAGCCGCGCCUGUCUGCACCACGAGCCGCGCCUGUCUGCACCGCGAGCCGAGCCGAUCUUCAACCUCCAAGCCGAGCCGGUCCCUGUCCUUUUUCCAGCCGAGCCGCCAAGCCUAAUUUGGCUCCUUCCAUCCAAUUUUUGGGACGUCUUGGACCAAGUAACUGCUGCAGCGUGGGAUUUCUUCAGUAGGGGCUCAAGCAUUGCAACCUCUUUCUAGGUUAGGAUCUCGUUGCUUGGAAAGCACAUUUGCCUCGCGGUUAGAACUCGCCAAGUAAAUCUCCAGGUAGAGGACGAGGUAAGGGCAAAGGCAAGCUGGCGAGCGACCAGAAGUGACCGUGGCGAGCCAUAGGGAUUUCUGCUUCCGCUUAUUCUUGUUUUUGACGUUAGUACCUGAGUUUGAGUAUUCUUCACUAUUUACCACUUUUUAAAGUAGAUAGGGCCCGAGUAGGACUUUAGAACGAAAUUUCAUUUUUGCAUAUUACUUUGUUUGGAUUUUCAUAAAUAAAUUUCUCAAACCUUAUGCGUUUUUACUAAA